CCCUCGAGCUCCCGCACCUCCUCAGACGCGGAGUGGGCAGCGCCCAUGGUGCCCGCGGCGGGGGCCCCGGGGCGCGCGUCCCUCUCAGGCCCCGCACUGGCUUCGGCUGCGCAGCGGCGGGACUGGCCUCGGGUCCGGCCUCGGGUCGGGACGCCGGCGAAGGCUCGGAGCCGCGGGUUCCGCGUGGGGCCGGAGCGGGGCCUCAUAUAACGGCGGAGGGCGGCGCGCCGCGGUCCUAGCGCACGCCGGUUUCGCGCACUGCGCGGCUAGGGGAGCGCCCCGCCCCGCCCCGGCCCGGAAACCGCCGGGAAGGGGACCCCGGAGCCCACCGCUCUGGAGUCCCCGUUCGUGCAGCAGUGCUCACGUACCUCGUCCCUUCCGCACACCUGCUGGAUCUGGAAGGAAGCAGGAUAAGUUAAUGAGAUGUCCACCAGAGGGCCUGGCGUGGACACAGCACAUGGCCACAGAGGCUGGUGGGCGCUAUGGAAUCUUGUCCCCUGGAGAGGCACACAGCCAGGGCAGAACAUCAAGGUCAAGGCUCUCCUGAAGGCUCUGCAGUGCUUAGUGACACCACCAUCAAUGACCGUCAGGUAUCAGGAAACCAUUUGGCACCUCCUCUGGAACGAAGGUGUGGCCGGCCACUUGAGAUCUGGCUGUUGAGGCAGAGGUAGUGCAUGUGACCCACGCGGUGAGAGGUCUGCUCCCCGCUGCUGCAGCCAUCUGCGGUGGAGACCGUGAGUGUACACAGACAGUGCCAUCUGAAGGGAACUCCACUGCCUCUAUGUGCUACUUAGGCAGGGGCGACUGAGCCGGAGACUGCAGAAAUGUGUCCGUCCCCACGGACAGCCUGGCUUAGCUGUCCGUGGCUGUCUCCUGCGGUGGAGGAGCACACUGGAGUGGCCCGUGCAGUGGACCAGAGCUUCCACCCACACUGUGUUCUGUCUCCUUUCCUAGAACACAACUGGACGUUUCCCACCUCCGUGCAAAAUGAGUGGACAUAAGGGGUGCCACUUCCACACCUGGCUCAUGGAAGCUCCCAGAUGGUCUCAGCCCUCCAUGCUCCCCGCUACUUCAGGCGGGAUGGAGAUGGACGGCUCAGGUUGCUCUGAUGCCUGCCUGCAUAAGGGCUGCCCUGCCAGCCCAUUCCCCUGCCCAAUAUUAUGGAAGCAAAAACGUUCUAUGGUGUUUGAG
rnacentral:lncRNA from 1 species